GGCUUAGAGUUUGAUCAUGGCUCAGGAUGAACGCUGGCGGCGUGCCUAAUACAUGCAAGUCGAGCGAACCACUUCGGUGGUGAGCGGCGAACGGGUGAGUAACACGUAGGUGAUCUGCCCAUCAGACGGGGACAACGAUUGGAAACGAUCGCUAAUACCGGAUAGGACGAAAGUUUAAAGGUGCUUCUGGCACCGCUGAUGGAUGAGCCUGCGGCGCAUUAGCUAGUUGGUAGGGUAAAGGCCUACCAAGGCGACGAUGCGUAGCCGACCUGAGAGGGUGAACGGCCACACUGGGACUGAGACACGGCCCAGACUCCUACGGGAGGCAGCAGUAGGGAAUCUUCGGCAAUGGGCGAAAGCCUGACCGAGCAACGCCGCGUGAAUGAUGAAGGCCUUCGGGUUGUAAAAUUCUGUUAUAAGGGAAGAACGACUUUAGUAGGAAAUGGCUAGAGUGUGACGGUACCUUAUGAGAAAGCCACGGCUAACUACGUGCCAGCAGCCGCGGUAAUACGUAGGUGGCGAGCGUUAUCCGGAAUUAUUGGGCGUAAAGAGCGCGCAGGUGGUUGAUUAAGUCUGAUGUGAAAGCCCACGGCUUAACCGUGGAGGGUCAUUGGAAACUGGUCGACUUGAGUGCAGAAGAGGGAAGUG
rnacentral:rRNA from 1 species